ACUCCUCUCAAGGUCAUCACAGUUUUGCCUUUGUAUAGGAUGGUCGAUCUCAGCAUGCUGGAAUACAAAAAUGAUCUUGCUGAUUGCAUAUGUGGAUGAUGGUCUUUUGUGGGACUCCUCCAGGACCCUAACAUGAAUAAGCCCAGAGGCAGAUGCUGAAGUUGAAAGAUAACAAAUUUGAGAAUCUUCCUAUUAGCAUCCAACCGGGCUGGCUUCAAACUUAAUAUUCUCCUACAUCAUCUUCGUGAGAGCUGGGAUUAGAAGUGUGUGCUGCAAUCCCAGGCAUCAAGAUUCAUUUGUAAUAAGAUUGAAUGUUGAAAUAGUGAUUAAAGAAAAUGGAAGUGCUUAGGUGAACACAAAAGAAGAAAUCAACCUUAUGAAGAAUUGACCAGGAGAAGGAGGCUCUAAUUUCUUCAGUGACUGCAUUUCAAGGAAAUGGCCCAAGGUUACUGAGGAUUUUUCAACCUGGCAAAAGGUUCAGAAACUGUAAAAAUACUUAUACCUCAAAAGAAGAGGAAAAAAACUUAUAAUUAUUGGCUUUCCAAAAUCAACAUUUUGAGACAAGGGAAGUCUGUAACAGAGAGGAAGAUGUCAAAUAAGCUUGGUCCAGCUAUAGAGACUACUAAAGGUGUCUUUCUGUUUACCUCCCAGGACAUUUGUCUUCCAUAGGAUGAUAACAUUACUCCACAGCUUGUCAUCUCCCAGUUGUUUGGAAGUCCUAUGAUCCAGAAAGAAUGGCUACGUCUUCUUAAUUGGAAAAAUAGAUGCCAAGAUCAGUGUGAAUGGUGUUCAAAUGAAAGUGGAUGCACCCAUGCCAAGGUGCAUAUGUAGAGGUCAGAGAACAACUCGCAAGAAUUAGCCAAGGCAACUAAAGAACUACUUUUUUUUAAAUUUUACUAGGGUUUAACUAUUCAAAUUUAAGUGGAAAUAAGUGCAUAUCCCUAAGAAUACAUAUUCAAGAAUUCAGUUCUAGACUUCUUAGAGCUUUACUUAUUUGGGUCUUAAAGUACCAUCUGUACUCUCUCCUUGGAAGAUUGAGGACAAGGACAAGAAAGAGUUUAAAAAGAAUCUACUUUUAAGUGAAUAUUUCAGUUAAAAUAAAGAAAAGAAAAAUCAACACUGGCCAUAAAUUAAAUAAAGGAAUAAAUAUGCAAGUCCAAGGUUUUCCACAGCAUCUCUGUCAUUGAAUCAUUUUUUCUCACUAUACUGUAUGUCCAUCUUAUAGCAACGAACCCAGUCAUGUUAACUGAUUUAAUUCCUCUGAGAAAAUAAUAAUAAAAAAUAACAUCUGUGACAGCCCUGCCUAUUG